CACGUAGGAGACAAACGUUAUCCGGAGUUACUGGGCGUAAAGGGCGUGUAGGUGGUUGCGUAAGUCUGGCGUGAAAUUUUUCGGCUUAACCGGGAAAGGUCGUCGGAUACUGCGUAGCUAGAGGACGGUAGAGGCGUGUGGAAUUCCGGGUGUAGUGGUGAAAUGCGUAGAGAUCCGGAGGAACACCAGUGGCGAAGGCGACACGCUGGGCCGUACCUGACACUGAUGCGCGAAAGCGUGGGGAGCGAACAGG
rnacentral:rRNA from 1 species